UACGUAGGGUGCGAGCGUUAAUCGGAAUUACUGGGCGUAAAGCGUGCGCAGGCGGUUUUGUAAGCCAGAUGUGAAAGCCCCGGGCUCAACCUGGGAAUGGCAUUUGAUACUCUGAGGCUGGAGUACGGGAGAGGAGAGUGGAAUUCCCAGUGUAGAGGUGAAAUUCGUAGAUAUUGGGAAGAACACCGGUGGCGAAGGCGGCUCUCUGGACCGUAACUGACGCUGAGGCGCGAAAGCGUGGGGGAGCAAACAGG
rnacentral:rRNA from 1 species